GACGAACGCUGGCGGCGUGCUUAACACAUGCAAGUCGAACGGAAAGGCCCUGCCUUUUUGGGGUGCUCGAGUUGCGAACGGGUGAGUAACACGUGAGUAACGUGCCCUUGACUUUGGGAUAACUUCAGGAAACUGGGGCUAAUACCGGAUAGGAGCUCCUGCUGCAUGGUGGGGGUGGGAAAGUUUCGGCGGUUGGUGUUGGACGCGCGGCUCAUGAGCUUGUUGGUGGGGUAGUGGCUUACCAAGGCUUUGACGGGUAGCCGGCCUGAGAGGGUGACCGGCCACAUUGGGACUGAGAUGCGGCCCAGACUCGUCCGGGAGGCAGCAGUGGGGAAUAGUGCACAAUGGGCGGAAGGCUGAUGCAGCAAAGCCGCGUGGGGGGUGACGGCCUUCGGGUUGUAAACCGCUUUCGCCUGUGACGAAGCGUGAGUGACGGUAAUGGGUAAAGAAGCACCGGCUAACUACGUG
rnacentral:rRNA from 1 species